rnacentral:rRNA from 1 species
GUCUACAGCUGUACCACCCUGAACACACCCAAUCUCAUCUGAUCACGGAAGCUAAGCAGGGUCAGACCUGGUUAGUACUUGGAUGGGAGACAGCCUGGGAAUACCAGGUGCUGUAGGCU